rnacentral:rRNA from 1 species
AUGGAGACCGGGGGUAGCAAGCGGGAAGGGGACUGCCCCGGGCAGGAAAGGAAGAAGAAAGUGCGCAGGAGAAGCACCGGUCCUGAUUCGGUUGCUGAAACCAUCAAGAAGUGGAAGGAGGAAAACCAGAAGCUCCAGCAAGAGAAUGGAUCCCGGAAAGCACCGGCCAAGGGUUCCAAGAAAGGGUGCAUGGCAGGGAAAGGAGGUCCAGAGAAUUCAAACUGCGCUUACCGCGGUGUGAGGCAGAGGACGUGGGGGAAAUGGGUUGCUGAGAUCCGUGAGCCCAACCGUGGCAAUCGGCUGUGGCUUGGUUCAUUCCCUACUGCAGUCGAAGCUGCACGUGCAUAUGAUGAUGCGGCAAGGGCAAUGUAUGGCGCCAAAGCACGUGUCAACUUCUCAGAGCAGUCCCCGGAUGCCAACUCUGGUUGCACGCUGGCACCUCCAUUGCUGACGUCUAAUGGGGCAACCGCUGCAUCACAUCCUUCUGAUGGGAAGGAUGAAUCGGAGUCUCCUCCUUCUCUUAUCUCAAAUGGGCCGACAGCUGCGCUGCGUCGGUCUGAUGCUAAGGAUGAGUCUGAGUCUGCAGGGACCGUGGCACGUAAGGUGAAGAAAGAAGUGAGCAAUGAUUUGAGAAGUACCCAUGAGGAGCACAAGACCCUGGAAGUAUCCCAACCAAAAGGGAAGGCUUUACAUAAAGAAGCGAACGUAAGUUAUGAUUACUUCAACGUCGAGGAAGUUCUUGACAUGAUAAUUGUGGAGUUGAGUGCUGAUGUAAAAAUGGAAGCACAUGAAGAGUACCAAGAUGGUGAUGAUGGGUUUAGUCUUUUCUCAUAUUAG